rnacentral:rRNA from 1 species
GUACACACCGCCCGUCACAUCAUGAAAGCCGGUUGUACCCGAAGCCGCCAAGCCAACCGAAAGGAGGCAGGCGUCUAAGGUGUGGCUGGUGAUUGGGAUGAAGUCGUAACAAGGUAGCCGUAGGUGAACCUGCAGAAGGAUCA